UACAGAGGCCUCGAGCGUUAGGCGGAAUCACUGGGCUUAAAGCGUGUGUAGGCGGAUUGGUAAGUACCUUGUGAAAUCCCACAGCUUAACUGUGGAACUGCUCGGUAUACUGCUGAUCUUGAGCCACUCAGGGGCUACCGGAACAAAUGGUGGAGCGGUGAAAUGCGUAGAUAUCAUUUGGAACGCCAAUGGUGAAACAGGUAGCUGGGGGUGUGACUGACGCUGAGACACGAAGCCAGGGGAGCGAACGGG
rnacentral:rRNA from 1 species